CGGGCGUCUUAACAUGCAAGUCGAACGAUUAAAGCACCUUCGGGUGUGUAUAAAGUGGCGAACGGCUGAGUAACACGUGGGCAACCUGCCCCUCUCAUUGGGAUAGCCACGGGAAACCGUGGAUAAUACCGAAUACUUCGAGACUUCCGCAUGAAAGACUCGAGAAAGCUCCGGCGGAGAGGGAUGGGCCCGCGGCCUGUUAGCUUGUUGGUGGGGUAACGGCCUACCAAGGCAAUGAUGGGUAGCUGGGUUGAGAGACCGACCAGCCAGAUUGGGACUGAGACACGGCCCAGACUCCUACGGGAGGCAGCAGUGGGGAAUCUUGCACAAUGGGCGAAAGCCUGAUGCAGCGACGCCGCGUGCGGGAUGAAGGCCUUCGGGUUGUAAACCGCUUUCAGCAGGGACGAGGCGAAAGUGACGGUACCUGCAGAAGAAGCCC
rnacentral:rRNA from 2 species